rnacentral:rRNA from 1 species
CUUGCGGGUAGAGGGGGAAAUGUGCUAUGGCACCGCCUUAAGAUGAGCCUGCGUCCCAUUAGUUAGUUGGUGGGGUAAAGGCCUACCAAGGCGACGAUGGGUAGCCGGCCUGAGAGGGUGAUCGGNCACACCGGGACUGAGACACGGCCCAGACUCCUACGGGAGGCAGCAGCUAAGAAUCUUCCGCAAUGGACGAAAGUCUGACGGAGCGACGCCGCGUGAACGAAGAAGGCCGGAAGGUUGUAAAGUUCUUUUGCGGGUGAAGAAUAAGGCGAGGAGGGAAUGCCUCGCUGAUGACGUUAGCCUGUGAAUAAGCCCCGGCUAAUUACGUGCCAGCAGCCGCGGUAACACGUAAGGGGCGAGCGUUGUUCGGAAUUAUUGGGCGUAAAGGGCGUGUAGGCUGUUUUGUAAGCCUGGUGUGAAAGUGCACGGCUUAACUGUGUAUGUGCGCUGGGAACUGCAAGACUAGAGUCCGGAAGGGGGAGGUAGAAUUCCUGGUGUAGGGGUGAAAUCUGUAGAUAUCAGGAAGAAUACCGGUGGCGAAGGCGACCUCCUGGUCCUGGACUGACGCUGAGGCGCGAAAGCGUGGGGAGCGAACAGGAUUAGAUACCCUGGUAGUCCACGCUGUAAACGAUGUGCACUAGGUGUUGGGGCAAGAGCUUCAGUGCCGAAGCGAACGCGAUAAGUGCACC